AAAUACUUAUAAUUACAUUAAAUCUUUGAAUUAUAUAUUAAACAACUUUAUAUAUAUAGAUCCUUCAUUUGGUUUGAAGAACCUGUGAUGCGAGUGGGUAGGGAUUCUUUGUGAUAGAUUAAAAAUAGCAACAAAAACAAUUGUAUAUUUCUCCACUCGGUACUUAUACACACCCAUAUAAGAUACAAUCCAUGGUCCAUAUAAGGUAGCCGUGCUUAAGCUUCUGAAACUAUUGAUUGUUCUCUUAUGUAAAUAAGCUCUCAUCAUGACACC
rnacentral:lncRNA from 1 species